rnacentral:rRNA from 1 species
AUUGAACGCUGGCGGCAGGCCUAACACAUGCAAGUCGAAUGGUAACAGGAAACAGCUUGCUGUUUCGCUGACGAGUGGCGGACGGGUGAGUAAUGUCUGGGAAACUGCCUGAUGGAGGGGGAUAACUACUGGAAACGGUAGCUAAUACCGCAUAACGUCGCAAGACCAAAGAGGGGGACCUUCGGGCCUCUUGCCAUCAGAUGUGCCCAGAUGGGAUUAGCUAGUAGGUGGGGUAACGGCUCACCUGGGCGACGAUCCCUAGCUGGUCUGAGAGGAUGACCAGCCACACUGGAACUGAGACACGGUCCAGACUCCUACGGGAGGCAGCAGUGGGGAAUAUUGCACAAUGGGCGCAAGCCUGAUGCAGCCAUGCCGCGUGUAUGAAGAAGGCCUUCGGGUUGUAAAGUACUUUCAGCGGGGAGGAAGGGAGUAAAGUUAAUACCUUUGCUCAUUGACGUUACCCGCAGAAGAAGCACCGGCUAACUCCGUG